rnacentral:lncRNA from 1 species
CAGGAGGGUAAUGUCACACCUUGAUAAAAGCUGGUUUUAGGUCAAUUUCACAAAGUUUUCUCUCAGAGGAUAAAACAAUGGGGAAGUCAAGGGAUUAACAGCUCAAUCCCAGGCCUGAAAUGCUCUGGCUGUGGCCUUGACUAGCUCCAUCCUUCCUAAGGGAACAUCUUACAGAGUCCGAAGUAAUGUAAGAGCUCACUGUCAACGUUAUGGAGAAAUAAAAGCCAGAAGAAAAACGUAUUUAAACCUCGCACUUCAUCUCCCAACUGCUGACUUCAGUACAUGAACCCACCAUCUCCUCUGCCUGUUUUGUUUACUGAUUUUUUUUUAACUCCCA